AGAGUUUGAUCAUGGCUCAGGAUGAACGCUGGCGGCGUGCCUAAUACAUGCAAGUCGAGCGAGAAGGACGAUUGACCUAACAGUCAAUCGACUGGACAGCGGCGAACGGGUGAGUAACACGUAGGUGACCUGCCCCGGAGAGCGGGACAACCAUGGGAAACGAUGGCUAAUACCGCAUAAGCUCACGGAAGUUAGAGGUUGAGUGAGAAAAGUCAGCAAUGCGCUUCGGGAGGGGCCUGCGGCCCAUCAGCUAGUUGGUGAGGUAACGGCCCACCAAGGCGAAGACGGGUAGGGGGCCUGAGAGGGUGGUCCCCCACAUGGGCACUGAGACACGGGCCCGACUCCUACGGGAGGCAGCAGUAAGGGAUAUUGCGCAAUGGGCGAGAGCCUGACGCAGCAACGCCGCGUGCCCGACGAAGGCCUUCGGGUUGUAAAGGGCUUUUCUGGCUGAUGAGGAAGGACGGUAGGCCAGGAAGAAGUAUCGGCUAACUACGUGCCAGCAGCCGCGGUAAAACGUAGGACGCAAGCGUUAUCCCGGAUUUACUGGGCGUAAAGCGCGGGCAGGUGGCAGGUCCAAGUUGGAUGUGAAAGCUCCCGGCUCAACUGGGAGAGGCCAUUCAAGACUGGUCGGCUGGAGGGCAGCAGGGGGGCGUGGAAUUCCGGGUGGAGUGGUGAAAUGCGUAGAGAUCCGGAGGAACACCAGAAGCGAAGGCGGCGCCCUGGGCUGCAUCUGACACUGAACCGCGAAGGCGUGGGUAGCGAACGGGAUUAGAAACCCCGGUAGUCCACGCGGUAAACGAUGUCAACUGGGUGUUGGGGGGGUAAAAGCUCUCAGUGCCGAAGCAAACGCGAUAAGUUGACCGCCUGGGGAGUACGGCCGCAAGGCUAAAACUCAAAGGGAUUGACGGGAGCCCGCACAAGCAGCGGAGCGUGUGGUUUAAUUCGAGGCAACGCGAAGAACCUUACCUGGGUUUGACAUCGUGGUGGUAGGAAACUGAAAGGGGACCGACCCGCAAGGGAGCCAUGACAGGUGCUGCAUGGCUGUCGUCAGCUCGUGCCGUGAGGUGUUCGGUUAAGUCCGCGAACGAGCGCAACCCCUGUUGCCAGUUACAAGUGUCUGGCGAGACUGCCGGUGACAAGCCGGAGGAAGGUGGGGAUGACGUCAAGUCAGCAUGGCCCUUAUAUCCAGGGCGACACACACGCUACAAUGGACGGUACAGAGGGCAGCGAGACCGCGAGGUGGAGCGAAUCCCAGAAAGCCGUUCUCAGUUCGGAUUGCAGGCUGCAACUCGCCUGCAUGAAGUCGGAGUUGCUAGUAAUCGCGCGUCAGCCACAGCGCGGUGAAUACGUUCCCGGGCUUUGUACACACCGCCCGUCACGUCAUGGAAGCUGGUAACGCCUGAAGUCGGUGAGCUAACCGUAAGGAGGCAGCCGCCAAGGGUGGGGCCGGUAACUGGGACGAAGUCGUAACAAGGUAAC
rnacentral:rRNA from 1 species